UUCACGGAAAGUUAUCAUUGUGUUUCACUGAAUCACUAUUGUAGAAAACUUUGUUCUUUAAUAAGUACAGUCACUAUAUCGGGGUCCAUGCGUGAUAAUGGUGGGUGGCCACCUAGCAGUGGCGGGAGGGUCGGUGGCUCACCUGACACGUGCCGCCACAUGCCGGCCACCUGCGUUCUCCGAGAGUCUCCAUUGGCGGGCUCAACCCCUAUGCUGGCCGCUCAUUGGUCCGUCGGGAGCGUCCGGCCCACCGCCCCUCUCGGGUUGGCUGGCGCGGCGCGUGGCAGGUUGUUUACUGGGCCCUGAUUGGUCCGCGACACGCGUGGUGGGUGCACCUGCCGGUGACCGCGUAUAUAAGCUCGCCAACCUGGUUUGGAAAUCACUACAGCCUCAGCUUGUAGCCGAGGAACGUCCUCUGCUGUUAGGACCUCCUCGUGGCCUUUUUGGCCCUUAAUAAAUCAUACUUCACCGUCGUGGCUCGACCUCCCCGGAAUCCCGAGCAAUGGAGGAUCAGCCAGAACGACACCCCCUAGUCAGCUGACGUCGGCAGGCGCCAGUCAUCCUAGUCCUUGAGUCCCAGGACUCUUCUAGUCGACCUUCUUCUAGUCCAACCUCCAUUAGUCAGGAGUUGAGUCUUCGGACGUCGGGAUCAACGAAUUCCCUUCAGUCCACAGCCCUUUCGGGUGCAGCUUCAAGCCUUCUUCUAGUCGCCUUCGAGGCAGCCGUGUUGAGGAAAUGGAAUCGCAAGUGUUAGGCGAGUCGAGUGUUAGCUGUGCGUCUCGUGAGUUCGGAAUGAGUAUGCCCCCUUCUUCGAGGACGUCGGCCGUCACCAUGACCGCUGCGCAUCUGUGCAAGUCUCCAGAACCCUUCAUCGUAGUCAGUGCAACAUGUUAGUCGUCUGCUGCCCCUCCAAAGUAACUUAGUCGUCGGAGGGGCUAGUGCUUAGUCGCAGUUAUCCAGUGAAGAACGACCCCAAGAACUUAGUCAAAGAACUCCCCGAUCAACCCGUUCCAGCUGCUACUGUCAAGUCGCUGGGCAAGUCAGUGAUCUCUGGGAGAUAGUCAACCCUAGUCUACCGAUCUACCAGUCUACCUGUAGUUUGUAAGAGGACGAGUCUACCCGCCACAGAUGGACCACUAGUUCAUCGCCAAAGAUCUCACCAGUACUACCUACCAGUUGUAGUACUGACAACUGGGCAUUCCAGUCUUGCAGUAUUAGUUUACUGUUCAGUAUUCAUUCUAGCAUUAAGUCAUCUUACCAAAGAUUAUAUUUACAGAGCCAGUUACCAAAAAUAGUCAGUAAGAGCUAACAUCCAAAGUCUUGUUUACCAAAGAUGAGUUACUAGUACUAGUCAGCUAGUUCUCCUUCAUUAGUCAUCAUAGUUAAUAGGACACUUUACCAAAGAUCUCAGUAGGUUAGGAAAUAGCAAAAAAAAAAAAAAAAGCAGCAUUCACCAAAGAUCUCAAUCAACAUUAAUUGCAUAUUACAUUGCAUCGGUUCACCAAAGAUUUAGCAAUAGUUUUACGUUUAAUAUUUUCAAAAAUUGACAGCUUCUCACCAAAGAUCUCAACAAACAUAACAUUUUUUAAAAAAAGACAAAAAAAAAAAGAACAGCUAUUAACCAAAUAUUGCAUAAC
rnacentral:lncRNA from 1 species